AACGAACGCUGGCGGCAGGCUUAACACAUGCAAGUCGAGCGGAGAUGAGGUGCUUGCACCUUAUCUUAGCGGCGGACGGGUGAGUAAUGCUUAGGAAUCUGCCUAUUAGUGGGGGACAACAUUCCGAAAGGAAUGCUAAUACCGCAUACGUCCUACGGGAGAAAGCAGGGGAUCUUCGGACCUUGCGCUAAUAGAUGAGCCUAAGUCGGAUUAGCUAGUUGGUGGGGUAAAGGCCUAACAAGGCGACGAUCUGUAGCGGGUCUGAGAGGAUGAUCCGCCACACUGGGACUGAGAAACGGCCCAGACUCCUACCGGAGGCAGCAGUGGGGAAUAUUGGACAAUGGGGGGAACCCUGAUCCAGCCAUGCCGCGUGUGUGAAGAAGGCCUUAUGGUUGUAAAGCACUUUAAGCGAGGAGGAGGCUACUGAGACUAAUACUCUUGGAUAGUGGACGUUACUCGCAGAAUAAGCACCGGCUAACUCUGUGCCAGCAGCCGCAGUAACAC
rnacentral:rRNA from 1 species